rnacentral:lncRNA from 1 species
UCUUCGCACUUAAAUGAUAAAACUCGCACAACCCUAAUCAUUCUCUAAAGUGCCAUCAAAAAAUUGAUCUUCACCUGUCCAAGGGGAGUAGAAGUCCAUCUAACUGGUUUUUGUUUGAUUAUUAAAAACAUAAGCCAUUUAGAAUGGCAUAAGAUAUUUUGUUAAUUUUCUAGUGGAAAAAAAUGCAAUAAGCUGUCAUUUUUAAAUGACAAAAUUGCUCUUAAAUGUUGUACAAAUUUAGGGCUA